rnacentral:lncRNA from 1 species
UAAUAACAAAGACAAUGGCAACUUUCCUUAUCACUGGUAAAUAUUUUAGAUAUCAGCUAGAUAUACGAAACCGCAAAUUUUCAGAUUUUAAAUUCGAUUAUGUUCAGUGAUAUAUAGUUGCUUAUUUCAAACACUAAUAAUCCAGUAAUGUGGGAAUAGAAACUAAUUUAAAGUCUGUGUAAUAUUUGGAUACAAAUAUAGAAAAAAAAUGGGAAUAUCUAAAAACCAGCAUAAUCAAAGCAGCUGAGGAAACUUGCGGGAAAGCAAAAAUAGCAAACACUAACAUGAGGAGAACAGAAUGGUGGACGGAAGAAAUACGAGAGAAAAUAAAGAACAAAAAAGAAAAAUGGAAGAGAUACCUAAGUACAAAACACCCGGAAGAUUACGAAGCAUAUAAAGAAAAAAGGAAAGAGGUUAAAAUAGCGGUGAAA